GCCUCGGUGGUGUAGUGGUAGCAUGCGCACUCCGUAUGGAUGAAACUCGGGUUCAACUCCCGUCUGAGAUC